rnacentral:pre_miRNA from 1 species
AGUAACACCUGGCUCAGUGUGCCAUUUCCUUGUCUGUAGCCAUGUCUAUGGGCCCUUGAGUUAGCCACCUGGGUGAGGGCCUGCU